UGUCAUUCUACUCAAUUAUAAAAUUAAUUUUAACAGUGCUCGAUCAGUAACACUUAGACGGUUCUAGAAACGUCUCUCCAGCACUCUUUCAAUUCUCCUCCUUCCAUUACGAUUUCAGCGUUAUGCAGGGCUGAAGCAUUCUUAGAUGAAUCACAUCCCACGUUGUGUAUGAUUUUGCGCUAUUCUUCAUGAGUUGUAGGGCUCUAAAGGAAGUAUACAUAAUACAUGUGUCAGUUUGCCGCUUGAAUCAGCCUGUACUUUGUGUGGUUUGGAUUGCCAUUAUUCGUAUCAACAGACAUUGCAUAGCAUAGAGAGAGAGAGAGAGAGAAAAAAUAUCGUCAACUACUGCAUUGAGGUGCUAUUUAUUGGUGAAAGUUCUUUAUUUUCCGUGAAAUUCCCACAUAUAGGUACCUAUUCUCUUUUGUCAUUUAACUUAGCAGGUAUUGCUUGCGACCUGUAAUCAUCAUUUGCUUGUGAAGAAAUAUGAAUCCUGUAUUACCAGUUGUUUAAGGUUGAACCUGAAUCACUCUUUGAAGCUCCGUCUAGAAUGAAAGGUAACCUUAACAUGGUUAUGGACUUAUGGUACUUGGUUGAAGUAGGACAAAUAGUCCAAUGCAAUAAAAGUCGCACCAAAGGGUAGUCUAUUUUGUUCUUCAUCGCAUCACAAUAUUAUGCUUUAUAGAUGCUAAUAUGUAAAAUUGCAAGAUAUUAGUGGUAGCGUGGUGUAGUAGAUUAUUUCAAUUGAAAGGGUGGUUAUUCAUUGCUAUGUUUGUACAGGUAUAGGGUUUGUUUUUACUGCAGUUUUCUGAAAUAAGCAACAUUUAGUGGGAUAACAAAGCUCCCAUCUCUGCUCGAAUAAAGAAAUAAGUGGUUUAGGUUAUCUUUCUUUGCAUAUAAGUUAAAACUCAUUAUUUGGUUGGUAGAGGUAUACAAGGGUAUUCUGUGAAGUUUUGCUCUGCUUACUACUUGCUGUUUAAUGACUUGAAUAUAUACAUACUAAAUUAUAGCUCAAUUUGAUUUCAAUUUUUAUGAGUUCCCAAUGAGGAAAAAGAAAUAAAAAAGCAAUCUCAAACAAGUUAAAAAAAAAAAAAUCCAAAAAUGAAAAUGCUAUUGCUAUACUACAAAUCCUACAUAAAUGUUAAAAAAAAAAUAAAAAAAAAAUCCUACAUAAAUGUCUAAUCUAAAGGUUAAUUCCCAAAAAGUAAAUGCACUGGAAAGGGAAUAUGGGGACAGGAAAAAACAAACUUCCAGAUUGCUUACUAUAUAUAUUCAUUUUUACCAUAUUUGACAUUACUCUAUGAUUGUACGCCCCUAUGUUUUUGGUGCUUUUGUUUUCAUGGACAUCUCUUUAAGUUUGUUUCUCAUUAACUUGAAAGGUGCGCAUUAGUUUAGCUUAACAAUCAUCUACUUCCAUUGUGUAUUAUUAAACUGAAAGUAAAGAGCUUGUUCUAUUUUCAUUUGGUAAGUACUUUCAUGAAAGAAUUAUUCUAUGUCUUCAAGCAUUUACUGUUAUCUGAAUUUUCUCGGUCGUUUAUGAAUACUGCUACCACUUCUGCCGUAGACAGGCUUUCAAGUGUGAGUUGCAUAGCAUCUUAAGCCUGCUCAUUUGUAGUAUGAAAUAUAUUUUGGCCCUUUUUUCCUGUCAAUAAAUAAGAAAAAGGGGGUUUUCUUUCCUUUUCCUGAUAAAAAAAAAUAUAUAUAUCUCUCUUAUUUAGAAAUGAGAGUUGUGGAGGACGAACAGGUACAAAUAGGGGCACUUUUGAAAUUAUAUUGUUUACCAUCUCUCUUAUCUGGAAAUGAGAGUUGUGGAGGACGAACAGGUACGAAUAGGGGCACUUUUGAAAUUAUAUUGUUUACCAUGGGUAUUUUAGGUGACACGUGUUGAGACAAUUGGCUGCACUUCUAGCUUCUCAAUCAAUUCAUUUGUCUUCCCAAUUGGUGUUGUACGAUGAGGUGCCAUCUUCUCUCUGCCCUCCUUGCUUUCUUCCACCUUCUUCUUUCAAUCUUUAUGUUCAAGUUUUUUUCCAUUGAGAUUUGGCAAUAUUCCUCUCUUCCAGUGGUAUUUAACAACCACAGAGGCUUUUUCAUGGAAGUUCCUCAAACCAUGGAAGUUAUGCUCUAGCAGCUUUUCUGUGGAAGUUUCUCUAUUCCUUCCCUUUCUCUAUUCCAGACUAUCUCGCAUGCAUGAAAUCUGCUUUGUAUAUUCCCUUUUCUUUAUUUAUGAUUUGAGGUUUGAAUUGCUCUAGCAGGUAUCAUGCUGUGGAUAUUUUCGGUUGUGAACCAUAUGCUGACAUUGGUCUUAUGCAACUAACCUUCUAGGCUUAUCUCCUGUUGGAAAAAAACACGUACAGGAUCCACUCUUAUUGUAGCAUAUGGAGCUGCAGUUCAAGCUGCAAUUUUAGUGGAGAAGGUGACCAAAAGGUUCAAGAUUUGCUGCUUUUUGAUAUUACUUCUCUGAGUCUUGAUAUUGAGACUGUUGGUGGUGUGAUGACAAUCUAGACUCCAAGAAACACUACUACCCCGACAAAAAGAGCAAAUUUCCAGGUGUGCUCAUUCAAGUGUAUGAAGAGAAAGGAUAAUGACCGAGGACAACAACCUUCUUUGUAAAUUUGACCUCAGCACUUUAUAACUAUAUAUUCGUGCCAAUCAUUUACUUUAGCAUCAAACUUGACCUGGUUCAGUUCAUGGUGGUCAGACUGACCAAAUUUUGGUCUCAUAUUUUACAUGAUUUUUGCAAUUUUCUAGAACAAAAUAUAUACUUGAACUGCAUAUGUAGCAAUACUGUGAAUACAAUUUUUCAGAGAUAAUGUUCAGCGUUUAUCUGGGAGAACAGUCUUGAAAGAAAACUUGCCCAAAUCGUCAAGAAGUGAUUUGGUCAAUAUUUUGGCGAUGAGGGUACAUAUCAGUAGAUUCUUUUAGUAGCUGAUAUGUAUCGGAUUUUAUUUACCCGCGGUUGGAAACUAAUGAACGGCUCUAUCUAAAGGAUUUUGGAUUUCUUUAUAAUGAUCA